rnacentral:rRNA from 1 species
UACAGAGGUGGCAAGCGUUGUUCGGAAUUACUGGGCGUAAAGAGCGUGUAGGCGGCUUUGCAAGUCCGUUGUGAAAACUCGAGGCUCAACCUCGAGACGCCGGUGGAAACUGCAAAGCUAGAGUCCGGAAGAGGAGAGUGGAAUUCCUGGUGUAGCGGUGAAAUGCGCAGAUAUCAGGAAGAACACCCGUGGCGAAGGCGGCUCUCUGGGACGGUACUGACGCUGAGACGCGAAAGCGUGGGGAGCGAACAGG